UACGUAGGGGGCAAGCGUUGUCCGGAUUUAUUGGGCGUAAAGAGCGUGUAGGCGGCUUUGCAAGUCCGUUGUGAAAACUCGAGCUCAACCUCGAGACGCCGGUGGAAACUGCAAAGCUAGAGUCCGGAAGAGGAGAGUGGAAUUCCUGGUGUAGCGGUGAAAUGCGCAGAUAUCAGGAAGAACACCCGUGGCGAAGGCGGCUCUCUGGGACGGUACUGAUGCUGAGACGCGAAAGCGUGGGGAGCGAACAGG
rnacentral:rRNA from 1 species